rnacentral:tRNA from 1 species
GGGUCGAUGCCUAAGCGGUUAAUGGGGAUGAACUAUAAAUUCAUUGGCAAUAUGUCAACAUUGGUUCAAAUUCAUCUCGACCCA